rnacentral:rRNA from 1 species
AAUAGAUACCCUCGGUAGUCCACGCCGUAAACGAUGAGUGCUAAGUAGUUAGAGGGUUUCCGCCCUUUAGUGCGUGCAGCUAACGCAUUAAGCACUCCGCCUGGGGAGUACGGCCGCAAGGCUGAAACUCAAAGGAAUUGACGGGGGCCCGCACAAGCGGUGGAGCAUGUGGUUUAAUUCGAAGCAACGCGAAGAACCUUACCAGGUCUUGACAUCCUCUGACAACCCUAGAGAUAGGGCUUUCCCCUUCGGGGGACAGAGUGACAGGUGGUGCAUGGUUGUCGUCAGCUCGUGUCGUGAGAUGUUGGGUUAAGUCCCGCAACGAGCGCAACCCUUGAUCUUAGUUGCCAGCAUUCAGUUGGGCACUCUAAGGUGACUGCCGGUGACAAACCGGAGGAAGGUGGGGAUGACGUCAAAUCAUCAUGCCCCUUAUGACCUGGGCUACACACGUGCUACAAUGGAUGGUACAAGGGCUGCAAACCUGACGAAGGUAGACGAUCCAUAAACGCCAUUCGUCAGUUACGAGUUCGA